GGCAUCGAUGGGUAGGGGUUCUGAGAGGAAGGUCCCCCACAUUGGAACUGAGACACGGUCCAAACUCCUACGGGAGGCAGCAGUGAGGAAUAUUGGUCAAUGGACGAAAGUCUGAACCAGCCAAGUAGCGUGCAGGAAGACGGCCCUCUGGGUUGUAAACUGCUUUUAGUUGGGAAUAAAAAGAGGGACGUGUCCCUUAUUGUAUGUACCAUCAGAAAAAGGACCGGCUAAUUCCGUGCCAGCAGCCGCGGUAAUACGGAAGGUCCAGGCGUUAUCCGGAUUUAUUGGGUUUAAAGGGAGCGCAGGCGGCGGCGUAAGUCAGUUGUGAAAUCGUGCGGCUUAACCGUGCAAUUGCAGUUGAUACUGCGUCGCUUGAGUGCACACAGGGAUGUUGGAAUUCAUGGUGUAGCGGUGAAAUGCUUAGAUAUCAUGAAGAACUCCGAUCGCGAAGGCAUAUGUCCGGAGUGCAACUGACGCUGAGGCUCGAAAGUGUGGGUAUCAAACAGGAUUAGAUACCCUGGUAGUCCACACAGUAAACGAUGAAUACUCGCGGUUGGUUCGUUAGAGUCAGCCGCCAAGCGAAAGCGUUAAGUAUUCCACCUGGGGAGUAC
rnacentral:rRNA from 1 species